AAAUCAUUAUGCUGUAUACCCAAAACUAAUAUAAUGUUACAUGUCAAUUUUAUCUCAAUUUAAAAAAUAAUUAUCAUAGCUAUCUUUGACUUACCGACUUCUUCCUGUAGCUAAGUAUUGUUUUUAGCGUUUGACAUGUGAUGAGUCAUUUAAUCCUCAGAAAACCUUUUUAGGUAGAUAAUCCCUAUUUCAUGCAUAGAGAAACCGAGUCUGCUAUCCUACACAUUCCCAAUUUCAAAAAUCACUAAAAUCACUCUUGCAUCCUAGCACGCCUGGAAAAUAAAAUAAUGGCGGAUCACCAUUGUUAUCACUUGACGUGAAUAAUUUUGAAAGCUUGACGUUAAAGAUAAAGCUCAGUUUGGGGACCCUCUGCACCCGUGCGAACAUGGCGCUGCAAGCGGUGCGGAGCGUGCGGGCCGCGGUCGGCAGCCUGCGCGCCAUCUCCGCACCCCGCGCGCCCUGCUCGCCGCGGCCCCGGGGGCUGCGGGCGGGUCCGGGCACUGCGCACCGGCCCUGCUCUGCUGUCGGUGCGGAAAUUCACAGAAAAACACGAAUGGGUAACAACAGAAAACGGUGUUGGAACAGUGGGAAUCAGCAAUUUUGCACAGGAAGCGUUGGGAGAUGUUGUGUACUGUAGUCUGCCUGAAGUUGGGACAAAGUUGAACAAACAAGAGGAGUUUGGUGCUUUGGAAAGUGUGAAAGCUGCUAGUGAACUCUAUUCCCCUCUAUCAGGAGAAGUAACUGAAAUUAAUACAGCUCUAGCAGAAAACCCAGGACUUGUCAACAAGUCUUGUUAUGAAGAUGGUUGGCUGAUCAAGAUGACAUUCAGUAACCCUUCAGAACUAGAUGAACUAAUGAGUGAAGAAGCAUAUGAGAAAUACAGAAAAUCUAUUGAGGAAUGAAAAUGGAACCCCUAAAUAAACUACUUUGAAACAACUUAAUCUAGCAUAGUUGUCUUAAAUUAGUGGUGGAUAGAUAUUUAAAAAGCAACUUUUAGCAAAAGAAACUACUUGUAACAAUGUUUCCUGAAGAAAAUACCCCUUAACUUUCUAAUGCCUUCAGAUAAACACUGUGUAUCUUUUCCACAGCAUCCUGUGAUUUUUACGCUAGGCUCCAGUUAUAAUAUUCAGAAUUCCUGAAAUUAUCUCUGAUAAAACUAAUUAUAAAAAUUAUGUAAUUCAAGGAUAACAUGGUUAUCUUAUACCUUAUAUGACAUUGUAACUUGCUUACAGCUAUCCUUGGAUUUGGGUCAAAAUGAUCUUCCCACUAGAAAUAACUGCCAGUGGAGAAAAGUUUGUUAGUUGUAUAGUGUCCAGUGAAGAAUAUUACUGUCUUAAUUUUGCAAUAUACUGUGUUUGCUGGUGCUAUUUUUAUACAGUGAAGCAACAGCCUUGCAGGAGAAUAAACAAUUUAAUAAUAAAAUAUUCAACUUCUUAAAAAAAAAAAA